rnacentral:rRNA from 1 species
UACAGAGGUCUCAAGCGUUGUUCGGAUUCAUUGGGCGUAAAGGGCGCGUAGGUGGCGCUGUAAGUCAGGUGUGAAAUUUCGGAGCUUAACUCCGAAACUGCAUUUGAUACUGCGGUGCUUGAGGACUGGAGAGGAGACUGGAAUUCACGGUGUAGCAGUGAAAUGCGUAGAGAUCGUGAGGAAGACCAGUGGCGAAGGCGGGUCUCUGGACAGUGCCUGACACUGAGGCACGAAGGCCAGGGGAGCAAACGGG